GACGAACGCUGGCGGCGUGCUUAACACAUGCAAGUCAAGGGGGCCCAGCAAUGGGCAACCGGCGAACGGGUGCGUAACACGUGAGCAACCUACCGAAAUGUGGGGGAUAGCCGGCCUAACGGCCGAGUAAUACCGCAUACGCUCUCGAUGAGGCAUUUCAUUGAGAGGAAACCUACGGGACAUUUCGAGGGGCUCGCGGCCUAUCAGCUAGUUGGCGAGGUAACGGCUCACCAAGGCAACGACGGGUAGCUGGUCUGAGAGGAUGGCCAGCCACAUUGGGACUGAGAUACGGCCCAGACUCCUACGGGAGGCAGCAGUGGGGAAUCUUGCGCAAUGGCCUAACGGCUGACGCAGCGACGCCGCGUGUGGGAUGAAGCUCUUCGGAGUGUAAACCACUGUUGCCCGGGACG
rnacentral:rRNA from 1 species